AACGAACGCUGGCGGCGUGGAUAAGACAUGCAAGUCGAACGGGAUCAAGUUUGUAGCAAUACAAAUUUGGUCCAGUGGCAAACGGGUGCGUAACACGUGAGCAAUCUGCCGGGAAGUGGGGGAUAGCUCGCCGAAAGGCGAAUUAAUACCGCAUGUGGCCAGGAAGGACACCCUUCCACAGCCAAAGUCGCAAGACGCUUCCUGAUGAGCUCGCGGCCUAUCAGCUAGUUGGUGAGGUAACGGCUCACCAAGGCGAUGACGGGUAGCUGGUCUGAGAGGACGACCAGCCACACUGGAACUGAGACACGGUCCAGACACCUACGGGUGGCAGCAGUCGAGAAUUUUUCACAAUGGGGGAAACCCUGAUGGAGCGACGCCGCGUGGAGGACGAAAGGUCUUCGGAUUGUAAACUCCUGUCAUGCGGGAACAAGAAAGUGAUAGUACCGCAAGAGGAAGAGACGGCUAAACUCUGUGCCAGCAGCCGCGGUAAU
rnacentral:rRNA from 1 species